rnacentral:rRNA from 1 species
AGGCGGAGNAAACACAAACACAGUCUCAGUUCAGAUUGUAGGCUGAAACUCGCCUAUAUGAAGUCGGAAUUGCUAGUAAUCGCGGAUCAGCAUGCCGCGGUGAAUACGUUCCCGGGCCUUGUACACACCGCCCGUCACACCAUGAGAGUCGAUAACACCCGAAGCCUGUAGUCUAACAGCAAUGAGGACGCAGUCGAAGGUGGGAUUGAUAAUUGGGGUGAAGUCGUAACAAGGUACC